rnacentral:rRNA from 1 species
UACGUAGGGUGCGAGCGUUAAUCGGAAUUACUGGGCGUAAAGCGUGCGCAGGCGGUUUUGUAAGUCUGUCGUGAAAUCCCCGGGCUCAACCUGGGAAUUGCGAUGGAGACUGCAAGGCUAGAAUCUGGCAGAGGGGGGUAGAAUUCCACGUGUAGCAGUGAAAUGCGUAGAGAUGUGGAGGAACACCGAUGGCGAAGGCAGCCCCCUGGGUCAAGACUGACGCUCAUGCACGAAAGCGUGGGGAGCAAACAGG